ensembl:lncRNA LINC02436 long intergenic non-protein coding RNA 2436
GGCACUCUGGGAAGGCAACCUAGGAAGGGUGGGGCCCUGGGGCCUUUUGAGGAGCUAAGUGGCCAAGGAGAGUGCUUUGUGAGUCUCUUGUUGGAAGGACUGUCUUUAAAUUAAAGCAAUUAGAGUUACUUUAUAAGAUUUACCCAAAUAUAAGAGCUGAAGAGAAUAAUUCAAAUUGAUCAGAAGAAAAUACUCAAUUACUGACAAAUGUCAAUUACAUCAAUAGGAUUUCUCUAAUUAAUGAAAAUAUAUACUGGGAAAAUGUAGACGUUUUAAAUGUUAUUCCUCGAAUUUCUCCUUUCGGAUAAGAAAACUGUAUAAACACAGAAGAGAAGGCAGUACUCUGAAGUUUUCAGCAAAUUUAAUUGCAAGAGUCCAGUCAUCUUAUUGUAGCUCCCUCUGCAGCCAAUUGUGUGAUUCCUUCCCUCCUUUUUGUUGUCUUUCCCUUUCUACAGACAUUUAUUGAGCACUUGCUAGGUUUCAGGCUCUCAGCUGUGUUGCUUUGGGAACAGAGUAGUUUAGCAGUAGCCCUGUUCUCUACCUAAUAGAUGCCAGCACCCUGCCCCCAGUGUGACAGCCAAAAAUGUCUCCAAACAUUGCCAAAUGUGCCCUGUGGGCUAAAUGUCCCCCAGGUGAGAACAACUGUUUUAAGAAAACAAAUUUCUAGAUCAUCAGCUCAUAUACAUAUUCUUUCCUAAAAUUAACCUGCGCCCAUUAUGUUAAAAUUAACAAGAUUUCAUUAGGCUGGAUCUCCUCUUCCUGUCUCUUCUUUUACAAGCAACCUUCUCCUACUUUACAAAAGGCCCCCUCUUUCCCAUCCAGAAUCUUACUGCAGUGCACUGCCUGGGAGUGUAAGAAUCCUGGGCCCCAAACAGUGAAAACUUCUAACCCCCUAAGCUGACUCAUUCAGGAAUGCAUUUCCAAUUAAUUUCACUUUUUGUUAUAACUAUUUAUCAAAAGUAAUACGUUUAUGGUGUUGGAUAACUGUAUGUUAGUAAAAUUUUGACGUUCAACACCUUUGGUCACGAGAAAUAAAAAAUAAAGUAUCUAUAUACAUACUCUUGUUGCAGAGAAGUACAAUAGGGUGAUCACAGCUUUUUGAUUAUGAAAUAUUUUAUAUUAGUAUAAAAUUCUGUAGAGGAGAUAAAAUGGAAAAUGAGAUUCAAGGAAAAAAGGAGUAAUAUAAAGCAUCCAA